AUAGCUGUAAGAUAAUAAAACUAUCGACCUUCAAAGUCGAAUAUAUGCGUUUGCGUUAGCUAUG
rnacentral:tRNA from 1 species